rnacentral:rRNA from 1 species
UACAGAGGUCUCAAGCGUUGUUCGGAUUCAUUGGGCGUAAAGGGUGCGUAGGCGGCGGAGUAAGUUGGGUGUGAAAAUCCCCGGGGGCUCAACCUCGGAAUUGCAUUCAAUACUGCUUCGCUAGAGUACUGGAGAGGAGGCUGGAAUUUACGGUGUAGCAGUGAAAUGCGUAGAUAUCGUAAGGAAGGCCGGUGGCGAAAGCGAGCCUCUGGACAGUUACUGGCGCUGAUGCACGAAGGCCAGGGGAGCAAACGGG